GGCCUACGGGGGGCAGCAGUGAGGAAUAUUGGUCAAUGGGCGCGAGCCUGAACCAGCCAAGUCGCGUGAGGGAUGACGGCCCUACGGGUUGUAAACCUCUUUUGUCGGGGAGCAAAUUCCGUUACGUGUAACGGAGUCGAGAGUACCCGAAGAAAAAGCAUCGGCUAACUCCGUGCCAGCAGCCGCGGUAAUACGGAGGAUGCGAGCGUUAUCCGGAUUUAUUGGGUUUAAAGGGUGCGCAGGCGGAGGUGCAAGUCAGCGGUCAAAUUGCGGGGCUCAACCCCGUACUGCCGUUGAAACUGCAA
rnacentral:rRNA from 1 species